GGCGAGUGAAGCGGCAAAAGCUCAAAUUUUAAAGCUGGCACCUUCGGUGUCCGCGUUGUAAUUUUGUGAGGCAUCUCCGGGCAGGGCGCCGGCCUAAGUUCCUUGGAACAGGACGUCACAGAGGGUGAGAAUCCCGUGCUUGGCUGGCUGUCCCCGUCCACGUGAGGUGUCUUCGACGAGUCGAGUUGUUUGGGAAUGCAGCUCAAAAUGGGUGGUAAAUUUCAUCUAAAGCUAAAUAUUGGUGGGAGACCGAUAGCGCACAAGUAGAGUGAUCGAAAGAUGAAAAGCACUUUGAAAAUAGAGUUAAAAAGUACGUGAAAUUGUUGAAAGGGAAGCGCUUGAGACCAGACUUCGGUAGGGGGUGAUCAGCCGUCCUUCUGGGCGGUGCACUUGCCCCCCUCCGGGCCAGCAUCGGUUGGGGCGGCGGGAUAAAGGUCCCGGGAACGUGGCUCCUCUCGGGGAGUGUUAUAGCCCGGGUGAAUGCCGCCAGCCUCGACCGAGGACCGCGCCCGCAAGGGUCAGGAUGCUUGGCAUAAUGGUCUUCAGCGACCCGUCUUGAACC
rnacentral:rRNA from 1 species